AGAGUUUGAUCCUGGCUCAGAUUGAACGCUGGCGGCAUGCUUUACACAUGCAAGUCGAACGGUAACGCGGGGGCAACCCUGGCGACGAGUGGCGAACGGGUGAGUAACACAUCGGAACGUAUCCUGAAGUGGGGGAUAACCUAUCGAAAGGUAGGCUAAUACCGCAUACGCUCGGGAGAGGAAAGCGGGGGAUCGGCAACGACCUCGCGCUUGUGGAGCGGCCGAUGUCCGAUUAGCUAGUUGGUGGGGUAAAGGCUUACCAAGGCGACGAUCGGUAGCUGGUCUGAGAGGAUGAUCAGCCACACUGGGACUGAGACACGGCCCAGACUCCUACGGGAGGCAGCAGUGGGGAAUUUUGGACAAUGGGGGCAACCCUGAUCCAGCCAUGCCGCGUGAGUGAAGAAGGCCUUCGGGUUGUAAAGCUCUUUCGGUGGGAACGAAACGGUUACGGCUAACACCCGUGAUCAAUGACGGUACUCACAGAAGAAGCACCGGCUAACUACGUGCCAGCAGCCGCGGUAAUACGUAGGGUGCGAGCGUUAAUCGGAAUUACUGGGCGUAAAGCGUGCGCAGGCGGUGGCUCAAGCCAGGCGUGAAAUCCCCGGGCUUAACCUGGGAAUGGCGUUUGGGACUGGGUCGCUAGAGUGUGGCAGAGGGAGGUGGAAUUCCACGUGUAGCAGUGAAAUGCGUAGAGAUGUGGAGGAACACCGAUGCGAAAGCAGCCUCCUGGGCCAGCA
rnacentral:rRNA from 1 species